UUUUGUAUCACUACUGCCCUAUUGGCUUUGUGGUGGUGAAGUGGAAAAAGAAAUCUGUCUGUUUAUGUAAAUUUCAGAUCUGAUGGAUGAAAAUGAACUUAUAAAUUGAUUAUUUAGGACUGUGUGUUAAUGUUGUCUUGACCUCUUACAAAUGCUUUUUCUAGCAAGUUGUGCUGCUCUAAGGUUCCUCAAGUAAGUGGAAUGAGUUAACCUGAAUGUGCCUGGGAAGAGGCAGCUGUGAUGGGAGGCCUUGUAAACACUGUGUUGCAGUCAUUGCUUCCAUGAGGAUCUGCAAAAGGUAUGAGGGCUGCUGGCUGAGACACAGGUGUGAGAAGGUAUGUCACUUAAGGAUGUUAUACAGCUUGCAUGUUCAUCCUUAUUCUUGUUACUUAAGCCACAGAAGAAGGGAUACGCUAAUGAGAAUUUUAGUUGUUAAAUAUUUUUCUUGAGGUCUUGGGCUAUUUUUCCGCGUUUUAUUUCUUCUAUUUCAUGCCUGAAUGAUUAUGGUCUGUCUGCAGUGUACUGAAAGAAUACCCUAUUAAAUGCCUGAUGUUAGAGUCCUUAGUGAUUGCGCUGGUUUUGAGUUUUCCUCUUAAACGUUAACAAUAAUGAUCUAAAGUUGAAAAUGGAAGCCAAACUUCUUAAUUCUGAAAAUAUAAAAGUAAUUACAUUUAAAGCAAUUGUGACAUUUACCACUGCCUAGUUUUGGAAACUAUCUGAGCAACAAAAAAGUACGUCUUCCUAAUACUUUACUAAAUUAAACAAUUGAUGGGAAAACUGGGGGAGAGAAGGGUGUUUUCAUUUUGAGAUGACAUGGAGAGUUUUUAUAAUAAAAUAUAUUUUUGCUUUUGAAUACCUUCUCUGAACAAAAUAAACUUUAUACCAGCUCAGACUUGCCAGUUUUCUUGAGGUUUGGUUUUAUGGUAACAGAAAUAACUGUAAUGCCAAAAUCCUUUGCUUGGACUUCCCCCUACCCUGUGUGUCUCUUCCCAAGACGUUUGGACAAAUCCCCUCUCUGCUGGAGUUUAUUCCUACAUUUAUGCUCUGGUUGCUUAACAGGAUUAGCGUGUGCCAGUUCGUAACUCCUGCUAACAGGGCACGUCUGCAGGGAUAACCCUGCAGGGUUGUGGAUGUUGCUACUGCAUUGCUGCAGAAUGCAAAGAAUGGCAGUUGCUUCAUAUCGCAGAGCCCAUGCUGUUUCCCUUCCCUUCCCAGAUUUUGGUAUCUGGCAGUUAGAGGACAGGUAGCAAAAUGUGUUGUGUGCAAGUGCAAUUGGUGCUGUAGAACUAGCACAGCAGAAUCUGGUUUUAAUGGUGUGGCAACUUCAGUCAGGUAAAUUGGGUUUUUGUGUAUCAGAAAAGGUGACAGUUGUGAGGGUCGUACAGUACUAACGCACUUGGUAAGCACAGACCUCAAAAAUGAAGCAAAAAGUUCAUGAUACUAUUAAGGACAAUGUUUUUUUUCCUUUUUUUGUUUUUUCUUUCUAAACAAACAAAACCUGAACAGGACCAGCCUUGAAGCUUUUUUUCUGAAAAAAUCAUGUUAAGGAGAAAGAUGGCUUGCACAUCUUUGAGUAGGAAAAACUACAGCUCUAAGGGAAGAGCAAGCUUGCCUGAUCAAAAAAACCCUAAUGAAUUUCAGAGAUUAAAAAUAGUAUAAAAUGCAGAAGUCUUGUCUGAACAUUGCAAAUAGAGGAUGCUAUCUCUGUGUGUAAUAUUCUUUUAUGGGCAAUGUGUUACGAGGCCAGAAAGCUGUGGAGCUCCCUGUAGGAGCGCUAGAAGGUGAGGGGGCAAUAUGAGAGAAUGGGGAGUCCUCUUGGAGGAAAAAUGUUUGUGGUUGAAUAUGAUGUAGUCAUUCAAGGCCAUGUUCCAUGUGAAACAAAUGGGUUUUAACUGUUAUUAAAAUAAUUACUCAAGUACAUGGAGUUUCUGGUACAAGAUGGCAUAUGGGAAUGUGCUGAACCAAAUUAAUCAAAACUGUUGGAAGGCUGUUAGGGCGUUAUGAAAGGAUAUAUUGAUGAGAUCCUGAACAGUGGGAUUGUUCUGCGAGGGCUGACAGACUUGUCUGUGCUCAAACUGGUUCUUUGAAGCAAAAUCAAAUAUUUCUCUGUGUGAAGCCUUUAAUUUGUGGACUGGGCCUAACGGCACAGAGACAAUACUGGCUUUUUUUACUAGGAUAAAUACGUGUCAGGAAGUGACAAAUAUUGUGUACAGUUGACCUGCAGCUGGGUUCACUUGGAGCUCUAGCAGAUGUGCAGUGGCAGACGGAUAUUGGGCAACUGGUGCUGUUACCACCCUCAGCCAUCCCCCUCCCCGGCCCUCGGAGAGGACGUGGCCCUCCUUCAGGAGGGGUAUUGGACGCGAGCAGUUCUUCAGUCGCCGCGGUUUUGUUUGAUACAGUAAGCUGAAAGUGCUUUAGUGCGCUGGGCUGACACGAUUGAUUCAGGGAGCAGGUUGGAGGACCGCAUUCCCUAGUAAUGUAAACCGUCCGAUUUUUGUUUCCGGACACACAUGCGUUUGGGGCCGUAUCAGAGUUGUAAAGGUAUUAGGGAAUCAAUUUUAUGAGACUUGAUGCAUCUAUGUUGACUUUUAGAACAAAAAGAGCUACUUAAAACUUAGUGCAAUCCAUUCAUUAGCAUUAAGGUGUAUUCCUAAAUUGCUGGUGUGUUAAGUCAGGAAGGGCCUGUCACACCAUCCUAUCUUCAGUGUUAAGUAGUCACUUCUCAAUUAUCUGCAGUGGCAGGUGCUGGAGUCAAAUGGGUAAAGCAAAACUACAGAUAAUGCAAGUUGUAUUUAAAUGUUGUUCUAAGAACGUACAGCGAGGGAGUAAUGGGGAUGGGAAAGGUAAGGCUUGAGUUUUGAGGUUGAGGGAUUCUUGAGAUGUCAGUGAAAUGAGCUGGUAAGGCCUCGUGGCACAUUACUGUGUGAAUGCAGUUAUUCUGUUAGCUCCGUGGAGCCAAGUGUCUCCACGGCCUGGAUAACUGAGGGCUGGCAGAAAUGCGAGGAUAGCACAAAGGACGUUACGCUGACAGCCUGCUUGUGUCAUCCAGCUGUUGCGUUUUGUCACAACUUACACUGGCUCAUUUUCAGAGACAGAACCUGCCUUGUUAUUGCAUGUCUUGCAUAGAGCUUAGCACAGCGAACUCCCUGGCUUGGACCAGCAACCCCUAGCCUGUAAACAGUUGCCUAAAAGAUGAUUUCUGCUAAAGCCCUAGAGCCUUUGGUGCUGUGAAUCACGCGGGUUUGUCAGAUCAGUCCUCCCCUCUCUAUGGAAGAUGUAAGGUUGCAGUGGAGCAGCUGUGUUCCUUGUCCUGAUCUUCCCAGUUGUGUUGGGCAACUGUUAAAUAGCUGUAGGAGCUUCUCCAUGCGUGCCCCUUGAGGACGGUGCUCUUCUGUCGCACGGCCAGGCAUGGUUUGGGGUGAGUUAGCAAUGCCUGGAAGUGCAGCGCAGGUGCAACUCCCAUUACUGACCAUGUCUCUUGUGCCAAGCAAAUUCACAGUAGAUUGGUCUGGGAAUCCUUUUGCUCUUGUGCUGUCUGAGGAUGUUAGUUUUUGAAAGACCGUUUUUAUCUUUCAUCUGGAAAGGCAAAUGUGACUGUUUUUGUUGUAGGUUUGCAUUUGUGAGCUUACCACCAUCCUAUCUAUGGAGACGGGGUGAAGGGAAGAAGACCAUAAAUAUUAAAGUAGAUUUGCUGCUUCUUCUAGCUAGAAGAGUAGAUUCUUCCGUGUAAGAUUUUGUUCAUUUGUGAGAGUAUGAGUAAUCAGGAAAGGCUCUUUGAAAGCAUGCCUUACAUUUAUGCUUGAGGCCCCAAGGUUUGGGUUCCACUGAGACAAGACCUAUCAGGUUCUUCCUUUCUUUAAUUCAUAACCUUCCUGGCUCUUUUUCUCUUCUGUCUGCAAACAAACCUUAGCACCACACCAAAAAUCCAAUGACCCGAAUACUGGGCGGGCAUACUUGUGUCAUGAAAAAGAUGUGAUAUUGCCAUUUUGUCCUCUACAAAACAUUUCUCUCUUUGGUGUUUAAAAAGAUGAAGUAUAAUCCUGGGCAGUAGUGAGGGAAUGACAUAAUGCUAGUUUGGCCCUUAUUUGCUUAUUUAAAAGGUUCUAAUGUUCUAAAAUAUGGCAUCUAAGAGAGGAGGAAAUUACAUUAAUUCUUCUUGGAAGCACUCUUCAUUAUUGCGCUGUGCCUCAAAGAAAGUGUGGAUUAUAAUAAUGUAAAACUUCAUUUUGGGAUCUUUGACAAAAUCACUGCCUCCCCAAAGGAUAUUGACAUGGAUUUACCAAUUUUUAUUCCUAGUCUGUUUCUUUUGAGUUACCAGCCUAGGAGCUGAUAGAUCAUGGAUCAAUUGUCCAUGUUUCAGAGGUGAAUGCAAGUGAAAAGGAGUAAAGCUGAAGUAAAUGUAAACAGAACCAUUUAGGAGGGGUCUACUGCUCGUGGGAAUGGAAUAAAUCCUAGUAGCUGCGUGUUAGUUCUGUUAAGUAUGGCAUUAAUAAAAAGGCAUAUAUAGUAUCACAUAUAUAAGUCGCAAGGUGGUGCUGUUCAGCAAAGGUGAAAUGUGUUAUAGUAUUGCCAAGAAAAGAGGCUUCUACCAUUGUACGAAUGUAGUAGUUUGUGAGGGCGUGUAUGCAUGUCCACGUGCACGCACAGGAUUUCAGACAGUGCAGGAACAAUUCAUCUCUCUUAUUUCAAGGCUGAUAAGCUAGAUAUUGUGUUUUUCUUGUAUUAUAUCUGUGUAGCUUGUAUGCAUUACUCUUCGACACAAAUGUUUCAAAUUAGUGCCAAGCAAAUGUUAAGAAGGCCUUGCAUAUGGUGUGGAAAAGAAGCAAAUUACCAAGGAACAAAAGAAAGUUUUAAGCUUAUCAAGUGUGUCUGUAAACAGGAAGCACUUAAAUGGUGUGAAAAAUAAUCUCUUUAAUUUCAAUUUAUAAAUGUCAGGAAUUGCACCCACUGUUUUGUUCUUGGUGAACUAAUCUCUUUCUUGAUAUUAUGUUCCCAAGCAAACAUCCAAGAGUAACAGCUAAUCUAAUUAGUAAAAUCAACUGUUGCAUUAUUGUUAAAUUAUGUUAUUGCCUUGUGCCUUUGUCAGAAUGGUAUUUUACUAUAACCAUCAUGGUCUAAGGACAAAGGUGAGACAUGGGUUGCUGGAAGAAGUAAUAUCUUUCAUAACGUAACUGGUAUGGUAGGAGAAAAUGGCCAAACUUUCAGGCCUUCCAAAGCUACCUUCAGAUCUUCAUGCAAGUGCACCCAAAAGCUUGUCUAGUUUUUCCAACUGUAUCAGUUAGUCUAACAAUGUGUGCCAGCAAAAACCACAUCCCCCUUUGUUAAUGUUAGCAUCUGCUUAUCCAAACAAAGCAGGCGUCUUGAGUUCCAGUGGACCUGCUGACUGAAAGACCACUCUGGAUCAAAUCAACUCAAUUAAAAAUUUCCAAAAUAGCAUCUGGGCUUUCAGACACCUCCAUCUUUUGUAAAUUACCAUUGUAAAAUAAUUCAGUCAUUGUCAUCAAUCCUUUAAUUUUUGUAUUGCUUUAUCAGUAGAUAGCUGUUAAAAAAAAGAUAAGUCUAUAGUUGAUGGACAUGACUUCUUAAAAACUGCUGAAUUCUCACUGCCUGAUGACAAGAUUUUUAAUGGAAAUGUGCUAUCCUCCUGGGCCAGUGGAUUUUUUUAGAUGGCAAGACAAAAAGUGCCAAUGACAUUGUGCUAACAUAGACAUUCAGCCAUGUACCCUUAGGAGAACUACAUAUGGAAAAGACUGUGGAAAAAAUGACUGCCUAUUGUUGUUGCUUGUGUUUGUUUAUAGUCUAGAUCUUGUAUGUCAUGACUGGUUUGCUAAUCUCUCAGCUGUUUUCUUUAGUACGUGAGUAGUGCGACCUGUGAUAAAGUCAGAACAACCACUUUAUGAUUGACAAGGUUUACCAAUGUCUGCAUGUGCCCGUAUGAUGGCAUAUCUUUCCACAAAUGCACAAAGAUAAAACUCCUUUUCUUUUCCAGUUCAAAAUGAAAACUUAGCUACUUUUUAAUGUUAAAAUAUAAUACAAAAAGAAUGUGCAAAAUGGUCUGAUUCCCUAUUCUUCAGUGUUCUUAUUUCCUCAUUUUAAAAAAGUUGAAGUUACCAAUUUUUCUCUUGAUGUCAUGUUAAACUGUAGGUGUGAAAAGCCAAAUAAAACAUGUAAUAAAAAUAUUAGCUGUAUUGGAUUGAUCCCUAAUUGUCUUCAGUAGUUACUGAAUUCAGUUAUAGAUUGUACUUAGAAAAUGAAAUGUUCUCUACUUUAUAUGCUUGAGUACAAAUCUUUUAAAGUCAUUAUGAAAUGCUGUGAUGGACUGAAGGGAGGAGGGUGCAGAAGCAUCCUUCCAUAUACACUGGUUCUCUUAAUGAGAAUAUGACUGUCCUUUCCAGACUAAUAUAACACAAAUGCUUUCCUGACCCCAAACAAUUUCUCCUGCUAUUCAACAUUUUUCUUUCUUCUCAAUUUUAUCAUUCCUAUGCGUGGGCAUUUGAUCACCCUAAAUUAUUUCAGUUUUCCAAGAUUUUAUUUUUCUCACUGUAUCCCUGCUCGGAGGCAACUUCUUUGAGUUUCUUAAUCACUGCUCCUCUCUUAUCACAGACCACAUGCAUAAUAUUUUUUUUAUCAUUUAAGCUUACUCCAGUUACCACUUAAAUGAGCUAGAAUCUUUUUACUGCUUUAGGUCUGAUCCCAGUUCUGCCAUAUGUCUACAUGUGUCUCCAAAUCAUUUGUAGAACACAUCUGGAACUUCGAUAAAGCAUAUGUUUAUCUGUGGUAUUAAUAGAAAUACUUUGUAUUUGAUUACAGUUAUAGUAUAUGUUUUGCAUGAUUUGGUAUGUUUUGACCACAUCCAUUAAAAGAGUAUCAAUACAUU